CAGUCGCCGCGGUAAUACGAAGGGUGCAAGCGUUAAUCGGAAUUACUGGGCGUAAAGCGUGCGUAGGCGGCUUUUUAAGUCGGAUGUGAAAUCCCUGAGCUUAACUUAGGAAUUGCAUUCGAUACUGGGAAGCUAGAGUAUGGGAGAGGAUGGUAGAAUUCCAGGUGUAGCGGUGAAAUGCGUAGAGAUCUGGAGGAAUACCGAUGGCGAAGGCAGCCAUCUGGCCUAAUACUGACGCUGAGGUACGAAAGCAUGGGGAGCAAACAGGAUUAGAUACCCCGGUAGUCCCUGUCUCUUAUAC
rnacentral:rRNA from 1 species